AACGCUGGCAGUGCGUCUUAAGCAUGCAAGUCAAACGGGAUGUAGCAAUACAUCUAGUGGCGAACGGGUGAGUAACGCGUGGAUGAUCUACCUACGAGAUGGGGAUAACUAUUAGAAAUAGUAGCUAAUACCGAAUAAAGUCAAUUAAUUUGUUAAUUGAUGAAAGGAAGCCUUUAAAGCUUCGCUUGUAGAUGAGUCUGCGUCUUAUUAGCUAGUUGGUAGGGUAAAUGCCUACCAAGGCGAUGAUAAGUAACCGGCCUGAGAGGGUGAACGGUCACACUGGAACUGAGAUACGGUCCAGACUCCUACGGGAGGCAGCAGCUAAGAAUCUUCCGCAAUGGGCGAAAGCCUGACGGAGCGACACUGCGUGAAUGAAGAAGGUCGAAAGAUUGUAAAAUUCUUUUAUAAAUGAGGAAUAAGCUUUGUAGGAAAUGACAAAGUGAUGACGUUAAUUUAUGAAUAA
rnacentral:rRNA from 1 species